GAUGAACGCUGGCGGCGUGCCUAAUACAUGCAAGUCGAGCGAACAGACGAGGAGCUUGCUCCUCUGACGUUAGCGGCGGACGGGUGAGUAACACGUGGAUAACCUACCUAUAAGACUGGGAUAACUUCGGGAAACCGGAGCUAAUACCGGAUAACAUGUUGAACCGCAUGGUUCAACAGUGAAAGACGGUCUUGCUGUCACUUAUAGAUGGAUCCGCGCCGCAUUAGCUAGUUGGUAAGGUAACGGCUUACCAAGGGAACGAUGCGUAGCCGACCUGAGAGGGUGAUCGGCCACACUGGAACUGAGACACGGUCCAGACUCCUACGGGAGGCAGCAGUAGGGAAUCUUCCGCAAUGGGCGAAAGCCUGACGGAGCAACGCCGCGUGAGUGAAGAAGGUCUUCGGAUCGUAAAACUCUGUUAUUAGGGAAGAACAACUGUGUAAGUAACUAUGCACGUCUUGACGGUACCUAAUCAGAAAGCCACGGCUAACUACGUG
rnacentral:rRNA from 1 species